AAGAGCAGCAGAUAAUCACUAGAGCACUUGCAUCUUAAAAGCAAUGAGGACAGACGCUAAAAAAGAGUGGGGUUGUCAAAAAGGCCAAAUGCUUGCAGAAUGUCAAGUAGGGAGAGGUCUGAGAAAAGUAGUCAUGUUUUAAGAAGAAAAGAACCAGGAAACAGACUUUUCCAGCGUCGCUGGCUUUGAUUCUGCCAAUUGGUGUCCCCGGUGGAGAAGAUUCAGGAGUUUUAAACUGGUUGCAAUGUAAAUGAGGCAGUGACCUGGUUUCCACCAGGCUGAUGAGAACAGUGCCCAAGGGGAUGGCAAGCCACAAAGUGGAAGGAACCCAGGUUCUAGAAUAACCUCAUAUCCGACCAGCCUGUAAUGUGAAAGAGGAAAAAAAGACAUUGCACUACAACCAUUAUGUUUUUGAAGUUUUGUUGUUGUUAUUGUAGUUCUGCGUUGACCCUAAGUCGGUGGUUCUCAAAGUGCGGUCCCUGGACCAGCCACAUUGGCAUUACCUGGGAACUAGUUAGAAAUGCAAAUUUCUGGCCCCACCUACCUCCAGAAUCAGAAACUCAGGGGAUGCCCACCAGUGCUGUGUUUUAAGAAACUCCUUAGGUAGUUCUGAUGAGUGCUCAAGUUUGAGAGCCACUGCCUUAACUAGUACAAUCAUAGUACUUACUAGCAUGGACACAGGCAAGGGAAAGAGGUGUUAAUUGCUGGUUUGCGUGGCAGUCAAGAUUUCAAUGGCCACGUUAUCAUUUUAAAACUCAGGGAAGCGAUGUCUACUGUUGAAAAGGAGAUAAAAUGAAAUGAAGUACCACCACUCAACUUUGCCCAAGUCACUGAAUUUUCUCGAUUUGACUUGAAGACUCUAUUUUCCUUUAAGAGGCAAGUGGAUUGGUAAUCAGCAAGAUCAUAGCUUUAAUACAAGCUAAAUAGCUGCCCUUUGUUUUUUCUUUUAACAUGAUAUAUGUGGUUGGGAGGAUAGACAGAACAGUCAAGGCACAAACAGCAUAAGAAAGUACAGUUGACCUUUGAACAACAUGAAUUUGAACUGUAUGCGUCCACUUAUACUUAGAUUUUCUUCUGCCUCUGCCACCCCCGAGGCAGUAAGACCAACCCCUCCUUCUUCCUCAGCCUCCCCAACAUGAAGGCUAUGAGGAUGAAGACCUUUAUGAUGAUCCACCUCCACUUAAUCAAUAGUAAACAUAUUUUCCCUUUCUUAUGAUUUUCUUAUUAGUUUUUAUUAUUAUAUAUAUAUUUUUUGAGGCAGGGUCUCACUUUGUCACCCAGGCUAGAGUGCAGUGGCAUGAUCUUGCUCACUGCAGUCUUGACCUCCUGGUCUCAAGAGAUCCUCCGACCUCAGGUAGCUGAGACUACAGGUGCAUGCCACCACGCCUGGCUAAUUUUUUGUAAUUUUUUUCUUUUUUGGUAGAGAUGGAGUUUUCCCAUGUUGCCCAGGCUGGUCUGGCACUUCUGGGCUCAGGUGAUCCACCCACCUCGGCCUCCCAAAGUGCUUGGAUUACAAACAUGAGCCAUUGUGCCCAGCCAUGAUUUUCUUAAAAAUAUAUUCUUUUCUCUAGCUUACUUUAAGAGUACAGUAUAUAAAAAUAUAACAUACACAAUAUGUGUUAAGGCGGCCAGUCAAUGGUAGGCCAUUUGUAGCUAAGUUUUUGGGGAGUUGAAAGUUAUACAAGAAUUUUCAACUAUGCAGGUUGGUGCCCUGAACCCUUGGGUUGUUCAAUGUUCAAGUAUAAUGCUUUUCUUAUUUCUUAAAGGGGAACUUUGCUGCCUGGGGGAUGUUGAUCCUCAUUGACCCCUAAUACCUCUGACCCCUCAAAAAGCCUCAUGCUCUAGAAUAAUAAGGAAAUGAGCCAGAUUUUUAUGUUUCACAAUUUAUGAAAACAAAACAAUCCAGCAUGCUAAAGCUUUGUGUAACUGUAUUUUAAAGCAGGAUUUUCUCUACAUUUCCUCUUUUGUGCUUCUUUUCUGAUUUGUACUCAUAAGUAGUAGAAAGCAUUAAGAUGAGAUUAUUUUCCAGAAAUGAUUGUUUUCUGUGAGAACUCAAAAUAUGUUGAUUAAAAGAUAUAUAGUUGGUUAAAAAAAGAAUGUCAUUACAUAUAAUUUUUCUGUCCCUAUAUUAUCACAUUUCUCUCUAUAGCUGAUAUUUUUGUGAAUGGUUGCAAUCAACAAUCUCAGGUUUUAAAUGAUUUCUCUUUUGCUGAACACUUGAAUUGUCUGUACAAUGUAGCUUCUUAGCAAUUUUAAGAAAAAUAAAUUUGUUUUCCAUUGGCCAAAUC
rnacentral:lncRNA from 1 species